rnacentral:rRNA from 1 species
CGUUCCCGGGCUUGUACACACCGCCCGUCACACCACGAAAGUGGGCAACACCCGAAGCCGGUGGCCUAACCCUUGUGGAGGGAGCCGUCGAAGGUGGGGCUCGCGAUUGGGGUG